UCUGCGCGUGUCCUCUUCUCCGCUGGAUCCAUGGAACUCUGCUUUUCCAUGGCGCUCGGCGUCCCAGCCAUGGCGUGCCCAGGCUCCUGGCGUUUCCUCUUUCCCCCGCGCGCAGAUUCCUCAAGAUUUCUUCCAUGGCGCCUGAGGUUAUCUCCUUCCCUCUGCUCGCCGUGGAGUUCUACGCGUGCCUGCCCCCUGGUGGUUGCUCCUCUCCUGUGCCGAGCUCAUCUCCAGCGCCGCAGCUUCCUCCCCCAGUGUUUCUCUCCUCUACAUGGCUACGUCCCCUCGGCUCGCCCGAGCUCCCUGCGCUCGCUCAUGUCACGCGCCCUUUCUGCUCGACGCUCUGCAAGCCGCGUGUCCGGGUC
rnacentral:misc_RNA from 1 species